UACAGUGAGGUGACGGAGCACUGGAACAGGCUGCCCAGGAAGGUGGUGGAGUCUCCUUCUCUGGAGAUGUUCAAGAUCUGCCUGGAUGCCUACCUGUGCGACCUGCUGUAGGGAACCUGCUUUGGCAGGGGGUUGGACUCGAUGAUCUCUGGAGGUCCCUUCCAACCCCUACAAUUCUCUGAUUCUGUGAUUCUGUGUGAUCUGAUCCAACCAUAACCCAUCCCCACCAUGCCCAAUAAUCAUGUUCCUCAGUGCCCUAUCUCCACAUUUCUUGGAUGCCUCCAGGGAUGGUGACUCCACCACCCCUUAGGCAGCCUAUGCCAAUGCCUCACUGCUCUUUCUGAGAACUCAUUUUUCCUAAUAUCUAACUUGAACCUCCCCCAGUACAACUUGAGGCCAUCAUCUAUUUAUUACUGGUUACCUGGGAAAGAAGAGAUGGAGUCUCCAUGUCCUGAGGCACCUACAACAAGGUUACAACCGUACCUCUCCAGGAAGAAGACAACCUUGUCUCAUGGCAGGGUUUAACACUCAGUCUCCUUCACUCCACCUGCUCCUGCAACUUACAUUAGACUUGGAAAUUGGGCCAAGAAGCAAUGUUAGUGCUGUCAGUCCUUUCCUCUGGAUGAUUUUCUAGUUACUUCUCUGCACAAGACUGGUCCUUCCCAUCAUGAAGCUCACAUGAGCAGGGGCCGCACCAUUCACCACGCAGUUGGCAACAAUCCCUGCUGCCUCGAGAUGCUUCUUGCUUGCAUCUCUCUGGUUCCAAACUUGCAUGAGGCACCAACAGCCCAUGGUGAGUGCUGUCCCCCAAGCUGCUUCUUGCUGUGACUGUUGCCACCUCAGCCAUCAAAAGCACGAAAAGCCACAUAGACUCCUUUCUGUGAGAAACAGGCCAACAAACUGCACCAUUUAUUCAAAGCACAGAGCACAGGUAGCUGGAAAUGAGAGAGAGAGGGGAGGAGGCACGAGCAGCCAGAGGGCAAACUCACAGCAUGGAGAGAAAGGCAGGCAGGUCUGCCUGAGUGCACAAACAGCACAAUGCAUGCAAACACUACUUAGCAGGCACAUGCGGACAGGGUUCCUGUAUGUCCCAGGAAUAGACAUACACUCUGAGCAUACAGAAAGUCAUUUACUUAUAUGCACAGUGCCUGGGCACUGUCUGUGAGCACAGACACAAAUUGGCAGAGGUGGUAUAUUCACAGGCAAAGAGCUGGCACAUGCACACUCUCAUAUCCUGGACAAGCACAUUCUGCACAUUGCAGAACUACAACAAAGAUAGCACUGCCUCACACAAAUAUCACAGACAUACAUGUACACACACGCACUAUAACCUUGUGUGGAAGCACAAAGCAUCUCCACUUCCCCAGCACAGCAAGCCAGCCCCAGUGCUGAGCUUAACGCUGAUCUGGAGACUCAAUCACUGCCUGUAUGAAGACAUUUCCUACUGUCCUGCCAUGGCUGGGCCAUCUCUGCAAGAAUCUCGCAUAUGAUGGAUAUACAUCAACUACAGCAGUGCUGGGAGGAGGGGAACCAGCCACCCGUCCCCGCUUGCCCAAGUGACACGCUGUGUGCACCCAGCACCCCAUGGAGUCAUAUCAUAAGUUUGGCAGUUUGGAUCCAGAAACAUUUUUCCUGUGACUUUAGCAGUUUUUUUAAAAAUCCUGACAUGUCAGAUGCAAGUCAGAAAAUUCCCAGGUGAGAUCAGCAUGGGACAGCCCAAAGUCUGCCUACACCUAAGCCCAGUACCAGUGGGAAAAUGGUCUGGAGGUUGACAAAACUCUGUUGGUGCCAAGCAACCUGCAUUGUCAGAAGCAGGGAAAGGACCGUGUCCCUAGCUGGGUGUCAGUGUCACAGCCACGGUUGUGAUAGAUGGGAAUAGCCAUCCUGGGGGUCAUAGGCAGAGGGUGAUUGUCACAAAGUUGUUUUUUAUCCUUGUCAGCACGAACCCUGCUUCAUUAGCCAUGCAAUGUCCAGACUGCAUGAGGCAGAACCAAGCAGCAAUUUGCCAUCACAGCUCCCCUUAGUUUCCAAUCAGACCAUUUACCUGGGGCCAGAGUCUACAUUUAAGUGCAUCACUUCAGAAGUCCGUGCUUGCAGUGCCCUGCAUUUCCAUCACAGCUAUCUCAGCAGCAGGGCCAAGGGCUGAAUGAGUCACAGAGGUUCAAUUUCCCUGCUGCUCUCCUGGGGAAUAACAUUUGCCUAUCGACCCCUACCUGGGGCUUUCCAAGGAUUAGUCAUGAACACAGCCUGGCUGGGGAUGGGAUGCAGAGUUGCUGCAAGCUGACCUGCUCCUUUGCUCUCAGGGAAAUUUGCUUUAAGCUUUGACUACAAUUUUUUUUUUCUUUCAGGUUUGCUCUUUGCAGCUCCACACAAGCAGCAGGCAUUUGUACUUUUGUGUAAAGAAGGGGCACCUGGGUUGAGGAGAGAUGGAUUGUUCAGGAAGAAGGAUUUGCUCUUUGCUGUUGCAUCCUCUGCUCUAAUUCCCUGGGGCUGGCUGUCAGUCCACCUUCAUCAGAACUGAAGGCAAUCAUGAGCAUGUAUGAGAAAUAAACCUGCCAAAAUGUGAGAAAACCACAAAAAACAAUCUGUGUGUGCUGAAAGGGAGGGAAGCUGAGCAGCACCACAUUAAUUCCCACUUUCUAGCAUAGUGUCACAAGAUAUGGGGAGCUUUAUGAAAAAUAACCAAAGAAUAAAUAUUCUUGAAUGGCUGAUAUUUGAUGGGGAUAUUUGCAAAAUGUGCCCUGCACUGGAAUGGGGUAAGUCUGACAUAAAAUAAUAGGAUCAUACAAUGGCUUGGGUUGGAAGGGACCUCAGGAUGAUCAGCAGUACCAUUUAUUACUGACCUGGGGAGUGAAGAGGUGGAGAUUUGUCUUUAAAGGUGGAUUAUUCAAAUAAUAAGAUUCCCUAUUCCGUCUAGGUUUGGUGAUCAUACCAGCACAUACAUUCUUCCCUGAAGGGCUCGGAUGUGCUGAGAGCUCUGCUCCUGGGCAUGGUGUCCAAUGCUGUCGUUACCAUUUGCCUCUCAUUUGCCCUAGAUUGAUGUGUGCAGUAGGCUGUAGUAACCCUGCACAGUGUCUUCCUUCAUGGAGGCAUAUCCAUGAUGUUCUGCUGCCCAACUGAGGUGGAAAGACCAACUUUCAAGCCACAGGGAACCUUUCAGGUGCCUCCAGGAUGUCAAGAUGUUGAUAUCAGUGAAAGAGUUUUCAUGAGGCAUCAAGGGCUCCAUCCUCAGCAAUUUACAUUGGUGCACUUUGGUGGACAGCUUCUGCCACCCACCACACAGCAGUUCUGUGCCAAGGCAGGUGAUACAGCACAUCCUUCUUCCAGAGUGGCACCAGGAACCUCAAAUGACCUCAUGCAGGCUGAACUUCAAGCUGGGUCCUUAAGAGAAAGGGCUGAGUGCAGGCUACAAACUUCUGGAUGCAUUGAUGUGGUUGCGGUGAGCGGUGACCUCCAACCAGCACUGUCCUACAGGAAAUUCCUUCCACACAGAUGUAAUCUGAGGAGCAAUGCUGCACUCUGCAUGUGGAGCUUGUUUCGUUAAAAAAAAAUAAAUCAUAUUUAUUCUGCUCAGAGCUGAAAUCUUGCUUGGGGUCAGCACAGCCUAAGGCUGGCCUCUCUGUGAGCUCUUAUUAGCAAACAUUCAGUCCCUGCACGGAUCAGAGCCCCACUUUUAAACAGAGCCCCUGUUCCUUACCCCUUCUGCUCGCUCUGGUACCUUUGCAGGAAGACCAUUAAGCUACUGGAGAUGAGCCAGCAGUUCAGAGCCAAAUCAAAACCAACAGCCCCAGACUGCAGCCUGCUCGCAGACGAGUUCAAACAAAUGCUGCUAUGGUGCCAAUCUUUCAGUGCAGGUACAAAACAGACAUUGUGGUUCAAUGCCACUGUAUCGCACCCUGACAUAAAUAACUGGUGUGCAACAUGAAGGAACAAGCCCAAAUAAGUCCUUUGGAUGGAAAAAGCAAGCUGAUUUUGAGAAGGCAGCUGCUUCAAAGUUUCAGUACAACUUUACCGAAGGUGAGCCAGGCUGCCUACGGAGGAAAAAGCUGUCAGAAGGGGAGUUUGUGUGGCUUUGAGCAGCAGCGCAAGAGCGAUGCCCAUUUCUGCUUCUAUUAGAUCGUACAAGAGCUAAGAAGCAAUAACAACACACACCAUUUAAACGUGUUUUGGCUGAUAAAAGGUAAGUACAUUCAUUGGAGACAGGGCAGGAACACAAGGUCUUAGCCUCAAAGGCCAAAUAUUCAUGGCUAUGUUUUGGCAGCGAGAGUGAGCAGGUGCAGAUGCAAAACAAGUGACAUUUGGGGAGCUCUUUUGAGGAAUUGUGUUUAUAGUUAAGGCUUGAGCUUCUGCGACUUUAGAUUGACCUUGAAGGGGCUGGGCAGGGGAAAGGUGGAGGUUUUCUUUUGUGUGCUACAAUACAACAUACAACAGGUUGCUCUUUUGGCACUGUCUAUCACUCUUCUAACAAAGCCACCCCAGGGAAGACCACCAUGCAGGGAUGGGGAAGCAAAACCACACUACUGUCUUGUGGCUGAAGGGAGCACAGAGGAUGAUACUACUGCCAGGUCCCUGUUGGGAGGAUAUUUCUCCCUUUGCUGUUCCCCGCAUGCUUUGUCUGACACAUCUGUGUAGCCUGGGAGCUGUGCAACAUUAGGACUAUCAGGCAUCACGUGUGCAAACAACAGCCAAAGUACAGCUUUGUGUUUUAGCUGUGUGAAUUAUGGCCUAGCUUAUAAAAAAUGUAAACCUAUUCAUCUAUAUUAUUCACAAAAGAAAAUAAAAUUCGUAAUAGCAAGCUAGGCUUACAGAUGCAUGUCUGAGCACUCCCAGCUGGACAGACCAAUCCAAAUGCCAAGCACAAAUAACUGAGACAGACACGGAGCAGAGAGUACAGAGCGGACAGAGUGGUCACAAGACCCUUAGCCUGCUAGGGGAUAAGAGACUUCAUGUUUUUUCAACCCCAGCUGGAAAAUCUCGUGUGCUUGGAAAAGAAACCACAGCAAUAGAAACACCAUCUCAUCCUUCUGAGCUGAAGGCAUUUAUACCACAACAGGCAGCAGCCCAGGAGAGCCACUGACUGCAGCCAAGUUCUGAUGGGAUGCUAAAGUAAAGGCUGCUGAGAUAUCACAGACUCCAAGGGUAAGGUUGGAGGAUAGAAGCUGUGAAUGAUAUUUGAUACUAGAUUUUGGUACUUGAGUUGAUGGGAUUUGAUUAUCUAAACAUGAAAUAUUUGCACACAGAUGUCCAGCUUUGGUGUGGGCAUAGCAGUUUCUUGGAAGCACUGAAGGCUCUAUGUGAGUGGUGCAUUUCAGGUUGGAUAUUAGGAAAAAAGGAAUGGCUGCCCAGAGAGGGGAUGGAGUCACCAUCAGUGGAGAUGUUCAAGAAGUGUGUAGAUGUCACACUAAGGGAUGUGGUUAGUGGGCAUAGUGGCAUGGGUUGCGGUUGGACUAGAUGAUCUUAGAACUUGUUUCCAGCCUUACCAUUUCCAUGAUUCUAUGAUUUCCCCUGUAGUGUCCAGCUUGGUGUGGCCUAGAUACCAGUUCAUCUCCUAAACAUCAUGGUAAAAUUCUGCUAAGGGUUGUUGUAGAGCUCCUCAAAGAGAAGAAUUCAUCUCUUCAAUGAAUUUCUCUAAUUUCAGCAUCCGUCUUUCACAAAGCAGGAUCUGCCCCAAUGCUUCUAUAUUCCUAAAGAUCACAGGGCUUCAGAUGAACAAAGCUUUUCAAGUGGAGCUCCUUCUGGGAACAAAGACCCGUCCUCACUCACAUGGCAUUUACAGAGAACUUGGCCACAGCACCACCGUCACUCGGAGAAGAUCUUGGUUUGCUGUUCUUACAGUGCGUUGGAUGGUGUGGUCAGCAGGGGCAGGCGAUGGCACCAUGACCCCACUGCAGCCUGCCCAGACAUCCUGUAAUGACUCUGUCAGUCUGUCCUCAGCCGAGGAAAGCAUCUUCGAUCCUACAUGAGGAAUUUGCUAGAAGGUGAAUGCAAUAUAACCCUUGGCAGCUUCUUCCUGGUAUAAAUGAGGUCUUAUUUUGAGGAAUCAUGAUUAAAUUGAAUCAAGAACAGUCACCUUUCUGAUAAUGAGUUGAAGGUAGUCUCUGAUUUAUUUCUCAUGAAGCAUUUGGUCAUGUUCUGUUGUCUUUGCAAAUCUGUAUUUUUAUCGCAGUGACAUGUUUCUCAGGUUUAGGUUACAUUUCUAAUAAAUAUCCGAUGCCUUGUUGA